rnacentral:rRNA from 1 species
AGGGCACCACCAGGAGUGGAGCCUGCGGCUUAAUUUGACUCAACACGGGAAAACUCACCCGGCCCGGACACUGGAAGGAUUGACAGAUUGAGAGCUCUUUCUCGAUUCAGUGGGUGGUGGUGCAUGGCCGUUCUUAGUUGGUGGAGUGAUUUGUCUGGUUAAUUCCGAUAACGAACGAGACUCUAGCCUACUAAAUAGAUCGUCGGCUUACAAACGCCGGCGAGACUUCUUAGAGGGACAGGCGGUGAUUCAACCGCACGAAACAGAGCAAUAACAGGUCUGUGAUGCCCUUAGAUGUCCGGGGCCGCACGCGCGCUACACUGAAGUGAUCAGCGUGCUUUUUCAACCUACUCUGUCAAGAGUGGGGAACCCAAUGAACCUUCUUCGUGAUUGGGAUAGGGGAUUGUAAGUAUUCCCCUUGAACGAGGAAUUCCCAGUAAGCGCGAGUCAUAAGCUCGCGUUGAUUACGUCCCUGCCCUUUGUACACACCGCCCGUCGCUACUACCGAUUGAAUGUUUU